CUGGUAUGGACAAAUUCAGCUGAGCACCCUACCCUAUGGAGACCCUUUUUAGAAGAGCCAGAGCUCUGCUGCUCAGAUUUCACAGCAUGCUGAGAAGAACUCCCAGUGAGCUGAAUAGUCAGUUAUUUGCACAGGUCUAGCAAGGAAUUAUGGAGGGAGGAAGAACAGAGCCCUGGGAAGAAUCAGUGAAAAAAAUCAACAAAAUACAAAGGAUCAAGUCUUCAACAAUGGGCACAAUGACAAUGGAGCUAUGCCUGUUUACACCAACUGAAGAUCUGGCCCAGAGAGUCUCAGUUUCAAAAGUUUAGUUGAUCUGAUAAUGUAAAGAGGCUGGAAGGCUGUGAUCAUGACAUAGGACAAGCAUGUCCUGCUGGAGCUGCCAUUGCCAGAAGCCUUCUGCUGAAUACCUGUCAAGCAUAACUUUGACUGCCAGUGUGAGCCACUGAGCACUGUUCAAAACUUAACCAAGAUCUUGCUCAGAAAAUUGCUGUUUCUUGAGGAUGAUAUUCAUUAAAAACAUAGCACAUAUUUUAUUUGGAUCCUCCAUAACCAAAUAUUUAUAUGAUUCUGUUGGAUCUUGGGGUAAAACAUUUGUGAAUCAUGUGUUUGUGUAUUCCAAAUGCCAGAGGCAAUCAGGUUAGUAACAUUCUCUCUGGGAUUACCACAGAUAUGUGAUUAUCACAAUAGAGAAGAAUUUCAACACUAGUACUCUUCAGAUUCACAAAAUCAUGUCACCGCUUGCUGUUCCAUAAUUUUCAGACUCUACAUUGUUAUUUUAUUGAU